rnacentral:tRNA from 1 species
GGACGAUUAGCUCAGUUGGCUAGAGCGUUACAUUGACAUUGUAAAGGUCACAGGUUCAAGCCCUGUAUCGUCCACAA